rnacentral:rRNA from 1 species
CUUCGGUGUGAGUAGAGCGGCGGACGGGUGAGUAAUGCUUGGGAAUCUGCCCAGUAGUGGGGGAUAACGUGUGGAAACGCACGCUAAUACCGCAUACGUCGUACGGGAGAAAGCAGGGGAUCUUCGGACCUUGCGCUAUUGGAUGAGCCCAAGUUGGAUUAGCUAGUUGGUGGGGUAAUGGCCUACCAAGGCGACGAUCCGUAGCUGGUCUGAGAGGAUGAUCAGCCACACUGGGACUGAGACACGGCCCAGACUCCUACGGGAGGCAGCAGUGGGGAAUAUUGCACAAUGGGCGAAAGCCUGAUGCAGCCAUGCCGCGUGUGUGAAGAAGGCUCUAGGGUUGUAAAGCACUUUCAGUAGGGAGGAAAAGAUUAAGGUUAAUAACCGUGAGCCAUGACGUUACCUACAGAAGAAGCACCGGCAAACUCCGUGCCAGCAGCCGCGGUAAUACGGAGGGUGCGAGCGUUAAUCGGAAUUACUGGGCGUAAAGCGCGCGUAGGUGGUUUGAUAAGUUAGAUGUGAAAGCCCCGGGCUCAACCUGGGAACUGCAGUUAGAACUGUCUGACUAGAGUACAGUAGAGGGAGGCGGAAUUUCCUGUGUAGCGGUGAAAUGCGUAGAUAUAGGAAGGAACAUCAGUGGCGAAGGCGCCUACCUGGACUGAUACUGACACUGAG